CGCUACUGUCGCCGUUUAGGAGCCACGCGCCGCGCCGACGCAAUCUAAGUACUGGUCGCGACACGUCGCCGAAUACUUGUAGCACGCUUAUUUCGUUUAAUUUUUAUGCCACGGAAAAGUGUGCUAUAGUUAAAUGGAUAGCUCUGUGCCAAAUACCUACACCAAAAUGCCGAGAAAUUACAUAAGGAAGGCCCCUCAGCGAAACCUCAUCUCAUCUCAGAUGACCAAAUAAUGAAGGCCAAUUAUUUUGAUCUCAAAGUGUGACUAUUGCCAAUAUAAAUAAUUUAAGACAAGAUUCACAUUAUAAUAGAUACAGGGUGGAAUUUUGUAAUGCCACCUGGAGGGAAAGUACUCUUAGUAAUGUAGAGGAAUCGAACCAACUAAAAUUUGUUAAAAAUUA